CACGCAGGCGGUCGUGUAAGUUUGGAGUGACAGUUCCCGGCUCAACUGGGAAAGUGCUUCGAAAACUGCGCGACUUGAGGGCUUCAGAGGGACACGGAAUUCCGGGUGGAGUGGUGAAAUGCGUAGAGAUCCGGAGGAACACCGAAGGCGUAGGCAGUGUCCUGGGGAGUACCUGACGCUCAGGUGCGAAAGCCAGGGGAGCGAACG
rnacentral:rRNA from 1 species